UACGGAGGAUGCGAGCGUUAUCCGGAUUUAUUGGGUUUAAAGGGUGCGUAGGCGGCCGAGUAAGUCAGCGGUGAAAUUUUGCAGCUUAACUCUAACAGUGCCGUUGAUACUGCAUGGCUAGGAUUUGGUUGCUGUGGGUGGAAUGUGUGGUGUAGCGGUGAAAUGCUUAGAUAUCACACAGAAUAUCAAUUGCGAAGGCAGCUCACAAAGCCAAGAUUGACGCUGAGGCACGAAAGUGUGGGGAUCAAA
rnacentral:rRNA from 1 species